UACGUAGGGGGCGAGCGUUGUCCGGAUUUAUUGGGCGUAAAGAGCGUGUAGGCGGCCAUGUAGGUCCGUUGUGAAAACUCGAGGCUCAACCUCGAGACGCCGAUGGAAACCAUGUGGCUAGAGUCCGGAAGAGGAGAGUGGAAUUCCUGGUGUAGCGGUGAAAUGCGCAGAUAUCAGGAAGAACACCGGUGGCGAAGGCGGGUCUCUGGGCCGAUACUGACGCUGAGGAGCGAAAGCGUGGGGAGCAAACAGG
rnacentral:rRNA from 1 species